rnacentral:rRNA from 1 species
AACGUAGGUGGCGAGCGUUAUCCGGAUUUACUGGGCGUAAAGGGUGUGCAGGCGGGCCAUUAAGUGGUGUAUGAAAUAUCCCGCUCACCGGGAGAGGUUAUGCCAGACUGGUGGUCUAGAGAGCGAGAGAGGGACGUGGAAUUCCGGGUGUAGUGGUGAAAUGCGUAGAGAUCCGGAGGAACCCAGAGGCGAAGGCGGCGUCCUGGCUCGCAUCUGACGCUCAGACACGACAGCAUGGGGAGCGAACGGG